AACGAACGCUGGCGGCAUGCCUAACACAUGCAAGUCGAACGCCUGUAGCAAUACAGGAGUGGCAGACGGGUGCAUAACACGUGGGAACCUACCCUCGGGUUCGGAAUAACCGCGGGAAACUGCGGCUAAUACCGGAUACGCCCUAUGGGAGAAAGAUUCAUCGCCCUUGGAGGGGCCCGCGUCGGAUGAGCUAGUUGGUGAGGUAACGGCUCACCAAGGCGACGAUCCGUAGCUGAUCUGAGAGGAUGAUCAGCCACACUGGAACUGAGACACGGUCCAGACUCCUACGGGAGGCAGCAGUGGGGAAUAUUGGACAAUGGGGGCAACCCUGAUCCAGCAAUGCCGCGUGGGUGAUGAAGGCCUUCGGGUUGUAAAGCCCUUUUGGCAGGGACGAUGAUGACGGUACCUGCAGAAUAAGCCUCGGCUAACUUCGUGCCAGCAGCCGCCGUAA
rnacentral:rRNA from 1 species